rnacentral:rRNA from 1 species
UACGUAGGGUGCAAGCGUUGUCCGGAAUUAUUGGGCGUAAAGAGCUUGUAGGCGGUUUGUCGCGUCUGCUGUGAAAUUUCGGGGCUCAACCCCGAACUUGCAGUGGGUACGGGCAGACUAGAGUGUGGUAGGGGAGACUGGAAUUCCUGGUGUAGCGGUGAAAUGCGCAGAUAAUCAGGAGGAACACCGAUGGCGAAGGCAGGUCUCUGGGCCAUAACUGACGCUGAGAAGCGAAAGCAUGGGGAGCGAACAGG